rnacentral:rRNA from 1 species
CUACGGGCCGCUGCAGUGGGGAAUAUUGCACAAUGGGCGCAAGCCUGAUGCAGCCAUGCCGCGUGUAUGAAGAAGGCCUUCGGGUUGUAAAGUACUUUCAGCGGGGAGGAAGGGAGUAAAGUUAAUACCUAUGCUCAUUGACGUUACCCGCAGAAGAAGCACCGGCUAACUCCGUGCCAGCAGCCGCGGUAAUACGGAGGGUGCAAGCGUUAAUCGGAAUUACUGGGCGUAAAGCGCACGCAGGCGGUUUGUUAAGUCAGAUGUGAAAUCCCCGGGCUCAACCUGGGAACUGCAUCUGAUACUGGCAAGCUUGAGUCUCGUAGAGGGGGGUAGAAUUCCAGGUGUAGCGGUGAAAUGCGUAGAGAUCUGGAGGAAUACCGGUGGCGAGGGCGGCCCCCUGGACGAAGACUGACGCUCAGGUGCGAAAGCGUGGGGAGCAAAUAGGAUUAGAUACCCUCGUAGUC